ACGGCUCAGUAACACGUGGAUAACAUGCCCUAAGGUGGGGGAUAAUCUCGGGAAACUGAGGAUAAUACCCCAUAGGUCUGAUGUGCUGGAAUGCUUUCAGGCCGAAAACUCCGGUGCCUUAGGAUUGGUCUGCGGUCUAUCAGGCUGUAGUGGGUGUAAUGGACCCACUAGCCCGUGACGGAUAUGGGCCUUGAGAGAGGGAGCCCAGAGAUGGACUCUGAGACAUGAGUCCAGGCCCUACGGGGCGCAGCAGUCGCGAAAACUUCGCAAUGGGGGCAACCCCGACGAGGGAAUUCCAAGUGCCAGCACUUUGUGUUGGCUGUUCUCCUGUCUAAAAAACAGGAGGAGUAAGGGGCGGGUAAGACGGGUGCCAGCCGCCGCGGUAAUACCCGCGCCCCAAGUGGUGGUCGAUAUUAUUGAGCCUAAAACGUCCGUAGCCGGUCUUCUAAAUCCUUGGGUAAAUCGGGCAGCUUAACUGUCCGAAGUCCGGGGAGACUGGGAGACUUGGGACCGGGAGAGGUCAGAGGUACUUCUGGGGUAGGGGUAAAAUCCUGUAAUCCUGGAAGGACCACCGGUGGCGAAGGCGUCUGACUAGAACGGAUCCGACGGUGAGGGACGAAGCCCUGGGGCGCAAACGGGAUUAGAUACCCCGGUAGUCCAGGGUGUAAACGCUGCGGGCUUGGUGUUGGGGGUCCUUAGUGGGCGCCCAGUGCCGGAGAGAAGUUGUUAAGCCUGCUGCUUGGGGAGUAUGCCCGCAAGGAUGAAACUUAAAGGAAUUGGCGGGGGAGCAC
rnacentral:rRNA from 1 species